rnacentral:rRNA from 1 species
UUAAGACUGGAUAGGAGACAAGAAGGCAUCUUCUUGUUUUUAAAAGACCUAGCACUAGGUAUGCUUAGGGAGGAGCUUGCGUCACAUUAGUUAGUUGGUGGGGUAAAGGCCUACCAAGACUAUGAUGUGUAGCCGGGCUGAGAGGUUGAACGGCCACAUUGGGACUGAGACACGGCCCAAACUCCUACGGGAGGCAGCAGUAGGUAAUUUUCGGCAAUGGAGGAAACUCUGACCGAGCAACGCCGCGUGAACGAUGAAGUAUUUCGGUACGUAAAGUUCUUUUAUUAGGGAAGAAUAAAUGAUGGAAAAAUCAUUCUGACGGUACCUAAUGAAUAAGCCCCGGCUAACUAUGUGCCAGCAGCCGCGGUAAUACAUAGGGGGCAAGCGUUAUCCGGAAUUAUUGGGCGUAAAGGGUGCGUAGGCGGUUAAAUAAGUUUAUGGUCUAAGUGCAAUGCUCAACAUUGUGAUGCUAUAAAAACUGUUUAGCUAGAGUAAGAUAGAGGCAAGUGGAAUUCCAUGUGUAGUGGUAAAAUGCGUAAAUAUAUGGAGGAACACCAGUAGCGAAGGCGGCUUGCUGGGUCUUUACUGACGCUGAGGCACGAAAGCGUGGGGAGCAAACAGGAUUAGAUACCCUGGUAGUCCACGCCGUAAACGAUGAGUACUAAACGUUGGGUAAAACCAGUGUUGAAGUUAACACAUUAAGUACUCCGCCUGAGUAGUACGUACGCAAGUAUGAAACUUAAAAGGAAUUGACGGGACUCCGCACAAGCCGGUGGGAUCAUGUUGGUAAUUCAUAGGUACCCGAAAAACUCCACCAGGUCCUUGGACAUGCUUCUGCAAAGCUGUUAGAAACACAAUUGAGGUUAUCAGUUGCCCAGGUGGUGCAUGGUUGUCGUCAGCUCGUGUCGUGAGAUGUUGGGUUAAGUCCCGCAACGAGCGCAACCCUUAUUGUUAGUUACCAGCACGUAAUGGUGGGGACUUUAGCAAGACUGCCAGUGAUAAAUUGGAGGAAGGUGGGGACGACGUCAAAUCAUCAUGCCCCUUAUGACCUGGGCUACAAACGUGAUACAAUGGCUGUUACAAAGGGUAGCUGAAGCGCAAGUUUUUGGCGAAUCUCAAAAAACAGUCUCAGUUCGGAUUGAAGUCUGCAACUCGACUUCAUGAAGUUGGAAUCGCUAGUAAUCGCGAAUCAGCAUGUCGCGGUGAAUACGUUCUCGGGGUUUGUACACACCUGCCAAG